rnacentral:rRNA from 1 species
UACGAAGGGGGCUAGCGUUGCUCGGAAUCACUGGGCGUAAAGCGCACGUAGGCGGAUCUUUAAGUCAGGGGUGAAAUCCUGGAGCUCAACUCCAGAACUGCCUUUGAUACUGAGGAUCUUGAGUCCGGGAGAGGUGAGUGGAACUCCGAGUGUAGAGGUGAAAUUCGUAGAUAUUAGGAAGAACACCAGUGGCGAAGGCGGCUCACUGGCCCGGUACUGACGCUGAGGUGCGAAAGCGUGGGGAGCAAACAGG